GACACGUCGGGGCACUCGGCGAGUACACGGCGCACGGGUGAGUACACGUGGAUAACCUGCCUUGGAGUCCGGGAUAACCCGUCGAAAGACGGACUAUUACUGGAUAAGACCACAGGGAGUUCGCUUCCUGAGGUAAAAGGUGGCCUCUGCUCCUGCAAGCUAUAACUCCGAGAGGGGUCCGCGUCCUAUCAGCUGGUUGGUGAGGUAACGGCUCACCAAGGCAAAGACGGGUAUCUGGUCUGAUAGGAUGGUCAGCCUCACUGGGACUGAGACACGGCCCAGAGUCCUACGGGAUGCAGCAGUCAGGAAUAUUGCGCAAUGGAGGAAACUCUGACUCAGCGACGCCGCGUGGGUGAUGAAGGCCUUCGGGUCGUAAAGCCCUGUCGGAGGGAAAGAAAAGUCCGUUGGCUAAUAUCCAACGGGCCUUUGACGGUACCCUCAAAGGAAGCACCGGCUAACUCCGUGCCAGCAGCCGCGGUAAG
rnacentral:rRNA from 1 species